UCAUUUCCCAUCAGAAUGUAUUUUCUUUAGGAAAUGUGGAGAAUAAUGAAAGCCACGAGAGUCUCAAACAUGAGAGAGAAUCUCCCUAUGAUCUCACAAACAGCUUUAACCAUUCAACAAAUGCUGCCAGUAGAGAGGCCUCUGAUGUUUGCUCUCCAAGGUGCACAUGAGCAGGAAUUGGAUCAGAAGUGGAGUGGUCGAGACCUGAACCAGGCACUGUGACACCGGUUGCAAGCUUCCCCACCUGAGGCUUCAUUCACUGCAGCAAAAUACAAGCUGCUUGUGCCAGUACUGAUUUAGGGAUCCUUAAAUAGUUUUCUUUAAAACUUACCUGUGAAGUGUUUUGGGGCUCAUUGGAGUGGUGAGCAGAAUGUGAAUAACAAUAAAGAGAUAUAAAAAGCAAACAGAGGGGCUGGCAUUGUGACAUAACAAGUUAAGCUGCCACCUGCAACACUGGCAUCCAUAUAGGGGCAGUUCAAGUCCUGGAUGCUCCAUUCCCCAUUCAGCUCCCUGCUAAUGUGCCUGGGAAAGCAACAGAAAGUGGCCCUAGUAGUUGGGUUCCUGCCACCCAUAUGGGACACCUGGAUGAGGUUCCUAGAUCCUGGUUUAGGCCUGGCCCAAUAAUGGCCAUUGUGGCCAUUUGGGGGAGUGAACCAGCAGAUGGAAGAUCUCUCUCUCUCUCACUCACUCUCACUCUCCUUCUCUCUCUCUCUCUCUCUCUCUCUCUCUCUCUCUCUUU